AGAGAAAGAAAGCGGGACUAAGUGAGAGUGGUUGUUUGAAGAAAAGAAAAAGUUAAAAGCGGACAUUUAUCAAAGUGUUCGAUAAGGACUGUUUACAGUUCAGUUGUGAUAGUGUGUCGUUUGAGUGGACUACUCAAAUCACGCCACUAAAUUGGAGUUAGCUGCUAAUGAUGAGGCUAAGUGGAUGCAUGGAACUUUGCUUGCAUGCUAGCGACAAGCUAACGCCAGCUAGCGAGGCCUGUGUUGGGCCACGAGGAAGAAGACGAGGACGCUAGCGACGAGCAAACGCUGGCGAGGCCUCCAUUGGCGCACAAGGGAAACGCUUCGCAACGGAUCGGACCCUCAGGACUUGGAUGAGGCCGGACCAUUGGACAGAACCCUCAAUGUUCGUCACUAUUGCCGUUUGAAACACUUCAGCGACAUUAGGAGACAAAUGGCUUUGCCAUUCAAGAGCCGCGGCGGAGCGGGGCCGGCCUCUUCCGCCGUAAAUGUGAGCGCUUGCGGUUCCCGGCCGCGGUCGGAAGCCCGGCCGGCGUCUGUGAAAUUCCAUCGCGGAGAAAUUCUACACGCGGGCCUCGACCUGAGCGUACCGAAAGAGGCUCUGGUGCGGAAACGCAAGCGGGAACGCGCCUAAAUCUUUGCGCUCUGCCGUGAAAUGGAUAACGCAAAGAAGCUGGGAGAAGAGCAAACACUACAAGUAUGCAGUGUGUGCUGGGUUUAGUUGCAGUGCUGGUGUCAGCGGUUACCAAGGGCAAAACAUACAAUUUGUACAUAUUCAACAUAUUCGAUCCCUUUACCACAUUGACUCUAUCAGAACACAAUAAUCAUUGUUGACGCAAAAUAAAAAGACAAACAGUAUUGUCUGAAUUUUGCAGAUUAAAGCAAGGCUGUUAAAUGUCGCGCAGAACGAUGUCUUUGCCCCAAUGGACCUUUCCGACCGGCUAUCUUCAGCUCCGCCCCCCUUAGCAACAGUUGCCAUCUCCCAUAAUCUUUCAAAAUGGCGACCGAACAUAACAGGUUUGAAGUGGAUCCUCCAUCGCGUAUUACCGGUAACAUUCCGGUAUGUUUUUUUUUUUGCCAAAUGUGCCAGACUUGUCCAAGAGGGUUCUACGGAGAGGUCGCAACUAUUUCACGCAAGGAUAUGUACACGGAAUUAAGAUUUUGAACGGAGCGGGGCGCAAUGUCAGAGUUACAGCGAAACGUCGGCGAUCGACAAACCUCACAAACUUCAUAUUGAAAUAGUGGAAUCGUACAGCGCAUGUAAAGCAGGGUGAGUACUUUUUAAUUAUCAAAAAAUCACGAGCAAUAUCUUUGUAGUCUUUAUGAAUAAUUGGGUGUAUUCAUUUGACUUGGUUCGUAAUCGAACCCGGUGCCCAGUUCACAUGUGACGCCAACAUUCAGAACAACAAUGGUGGAUCACGUUCGCAGCCUUUUAGCGUGACAUUGCUUAAAGAUCAACAUGCCUCCCAUCUCAUGUUAACGCUCGCUACAUCGACAUUUCAUGUCUUCGUUAUUGCAUGUGUUAGGGAACAAAUAUUUUUUAUCCAUGAUUUAUCCAUCCAUCCUGAAAAUAAUCGGAUGAUUAUUAUCCGGUUAUCAGAUUUUCUUUUUUCUUGUUUUAAAUCCAUAUCAGUCAGGCCCUGGUCAACAUCACAUAUUGUUACCUACUACUAAUUCUAUCCAUCCAUCAUGAGAAACUAGAGACUUUGCCAACUGACGUUGGUGAGUAAAAGUUGGCGUACUCUGCGGCCUAUAAACCGCGACUCCCCCCCCCCCCCCCCCCCGCUUUCAACCCUGCGAUUUACACGGUGAUGUGGCUAAUUUGUGCUUUUUUUUCCAAACGGCCGCAAGGGGGCACUCGAGGGGAAAAGGUAAGAGUGAGACCGGUGGAAUAUAUGUGCCGACGAAGUGACUUUUAACGGCCCUGUUAGCGCUGCGUUCACGCUGUGCUAACGUGUUGCUGCUGUGUCUCAGUGAUAUUUACCAGUAGGUUUUAAUCGGCCCUGUUAGCGUUAGCACAGUGCUAGCACUAGUGCCAUGCUAGCGCCACACUAGCGUUAAACUCUUUGUGUACCGUCUUUAUUCGCAAAUAUCUCGUGUUUCAAUAUUGGUUUCAAUGUGGGCGCUUGCGGCUUUUACACAGCUACGGCGUGUUUAUGUACCCAAUGGUAUUUCCUUUACAAAUGUACCGGGUAAGGCUUAUAACCAGGUGUGCUCUGUAGGCCGGGAAUUACGGUAAUUAGUUAAUUUGUGGAUUGAUGUGUUUUCAGCAGCAACAACACAAAAUUCCAGAAGAUCAUGGCCUAGAAAGCAGUGAUGCGGUUGAUUUGUACAUUUUUUGUAACGGCCGCAAGGAGGUACUUGAGCGGAAAAGCAACAACAAGAAGAAAUUCCAGCGGAUCAUGACCGAGAAAGCAGUGAUGCGGCUAAUUUGUGCAUUUUUUUCUAAUGGUCGCAAGGGGGCACUCGAGCGGAAAAGGUAAGAGUGAGACCGGUGGAUGAAGUGACUUUUACUGGUUCGGGCCUGUUAGCUCUGCGCUAGCGUGUCACUGCCGUGUCUCGGUGAUUUUUACCGGUAUGUGUUUUUUUUUUUUUCCGACCGGCCCUGCUAACGCGGCGCUAGUGUUAGCCUGGCGCUAGCGUUAGCAUUAGCAUGGCAGCCCUUGCAUUAAGCUCUCUGUGUCCUGUCUUUCUUUGUAAAUAUCUCGUAUUUCAGUAUGGGCACUUGCGACUUUUACACAGCUGCAGCGUAUGUAUGUACCAAAUGGUAUUUCCUUUACAAAUGUACCGGGUGAGGAUUAUAACCAGGCCGGGAAUAACGGCACUUUGGUAACCAGCAAAUUGUUUGACACAUGCCGACAAACAACCAUUCAGUGGGACACCCGUGGUUCAAUUGAUCGAGCGGGUCGUCCGGUGACUUGACGGCUCCCCGGUUUGAAUCCCACUCAUUUUCUGGGCAAGUCCUUGUUUGCUGCCAUGGCGGCAGCUCCAAAUUAAUUGUGAAUGUCAGGUAAAGUUUGUCAGACACUGUGACGGUGCCCAUAAACUACUCCAUACGUCCUUUUACCAUUUACACUCACAUCAAUCGGCAAUUCUGAAUCUUCAAUGAACUUAGCACGCAUUAUGUGGGAGGAAGCCGCAGUAUAACGACGAUAAUUCCACGCAGGAGGGGCCGAACGGAGAUCAGAAGACCCUCGACGCUCUCGACCGCGCAAACCCCUUUGUUGUUGUUCUGCUCUUUUUGCUCGGUGAAUCCGCAUCUCAUUUAUUAUGCACGGUUAUUUUCCACGAUUGAACCAUUGAAUAUUCGCGAUCCUGAACUUGCUGAAACUUUAGCAGCUGCGUGUUCACUGCAUUUUCUCUCCAUAAGCGCCAUGAAGGGGGAAAAAAAACCUUAAAGGCCAACUGUCUCCUGGAAUAUUGUGUCCCCCACAAUUUCACCCCGGUGGCGACCCCCUCCAUUGUCCUCGCUACUUCAUCAACACAAUCCCUCGCAGGUCUCAAGUGGAGCUUACAAGGGAUCCAACGCUUAUCCCAUAUUGCUGUCUUUCUAUAUUUGUCGGGAUGUCUCCUCGGGGCUCUGCCUAAUACUCCCCGCGUCGUUUUUUUGUGUUGAUGUGCCUUCUUUGCAUCGCUCCGUCUCCGGCUGUGACCGGCCAUGCAUCAUAACGCUAAAUAAAGUCGCAGCACCUCAAUACCUAGAGGUGACCCCGAGGAAGCAAGUCGCAGAAUAAAUGUGUGCGUGUCUGUAUGAUGGGAAAGAAUCUAGUGAAGGUCGUAAAGCCCAAGUGCCGCAGGAGUAUUUUUUGACCUGUAGGUGGCACUGGAGAUCAGUCUUCAGGGAUUGCUCAGGACGGAUACAGAUAUUCAUUUAACAAUAUACAGUUAAGCCUUAAAAUGAUUCAUACCGUGGCCAUAUUUUAUUAUUAGUGUUUCUAUUGUCUUUUAAAGAAAAACAACAUGAAGCUCAAGACAUGCUUUUGUUUUGUGAAUUUCAUUUUUGACGCCCAUUUCUCAAUACGUGCCUAUCCAAUUAAUAGUUGAUUGAAAUGAUAGAUGACGAUUUUCUACACCGCCUAUCCUCACUGAGGUCGGAGAGGACGGAGACGCGGUACACCCUGAACUAUUCGCAGCCAAUCGCGGGGAACAUGUAAACAAAUUUAUUCAGGGUUGUGAAAAAUGUUUUCACUAAUUCAGUAACAGGCGGCACAGUGGAUGAGCUGGUAAAGCGUCGGCCUCACAGUUCUGAGGACCCGGGUUCGAUGCCGGCCCCGCCUGUGUGGCGUUUGCAUGUUCUCCCCAUGCCUGCGUGGGUUUUCCUCCCACAUCCCAAAAAUACGCAACAUUAAUUGGACACUCUAAAUUGCCCCAAGGUGUGACUGAGAGUGCGGCUGUCUGUCUCUAUGUGCCCUGCGAUUGGUUGGCGACCAGUUCAGGGUGUACCCCGCCUCCUGCCCGUUGACAGCUGGGAUAGGCUCCUCGUGAGGAUGAGCGGCAAAGAAAAUGGAUGGAUGGAUGAAAUGAUCGAGCCUUUCUGACUUUUAGGCCUCACUCCAACAUCCCGACAGAAUCAGCACACCUCCACGUUUUCAUUAAUAUUUCUAACUACUUCUUCCAGGUGAUCCCCAUUCAGCUAAUUAAAAUAAAUGUGAAUAAACGGAGCUUAUUGCAAAUUUAAAAAUAAUUGUUCACCGAUGAGGUUUAAACACAGACCAAAUCCUCAU